UACGGAGGAUCCGAGCGUUAUCCGGAUUUAUUGGGUUUAAAGGGUGCGUAGGUGGAUUGGUAAGUCAGUGGUGAAAGUUUGCAGCUUAACUGUAAAAUUGCCGUUGAAACUGCCGGUCUUGAGUGCAAAUGAGGUAGGCGGAAUGCGUCGUGUAGCGGUGAAAUGCUUAGAUAUGACGCAGAACUCCGAUUGCGAAGGCAGCUUACUGGGAUGCAACUGACACUGAGGCACGAAAGUGUGGGGAGCAAACAGGAUUAGAUACCCCCGUA
rnacentral:rRNA from 1 species